UAACAUCUUUAUGAAGUUAUACAUUGAAAUGAAGAGAAUUAAAACAACUUAUGCAAUGAUAAUAUUGUUAUAGUAGAAAAACAAUUUUGAAAGAUGUAAAAACAUUAACUCAGUGAUAAUCCACACUUUGAAAAGAACAAAGAUAAAACAUGUCACUCAUCUUACCAGGUUGUGAUGAACUUAAAUGCUAAUACACAUGCUUUUUUUUUUUUUUUUUGAAAUUCAGAGAUGUUUUUAUUUUUCUUGUAAUUCUUUUUUUUAAAAUAGCUUUUUAUUUACAAAUAUAUGCAUAUGUAAUUUUUCAGUAUUGACAGUUGCAAAUCCUUUUGUUCCAACUUUUUCCCUCUUUUCCCCCCACCUCUUCCCCCAGAUGGCAGGUUGACCAAUACAUGUUAAAUAUGUUAAAGUAUAAGUUAAAUAAAAUAUAUUUAUACAUGUCCAAACAGUUAUUUUGCUGUAUAAAAAGAGUCGGGCUUUGAAAUAGUAUACAAUUAGCCUGUGAAGGAAAUCAAAAAUGAAAGCAGAUAAAAAUAGAGGGAUUGGGAAUUCUAUGUAGUAGUUCAUAGUCAGCUCCCAGAGUUCUUUCCUUGGGUAUAGCUGGUUCAGUUCAUUACUGCUCUAUCGGAACUGAUUUGGUUCAUCUCAUUGUUGAAGUGGGCCACAUCCAUCGGAAUUGAUCAUCAUAUAGUAUUGUUGUUGAAGUAAAUAAUGAUCUUCUGGUCCUGCUCAUUUCACUCAGCAUCAGUUCAUGUAAGUCUCUCCAGGCCUUUCUGAAAUCAUCCACUCAGUUUCCAGUUUCUGGCCACUACAAAGAGGGCUGCUAUGAACAUUCUUGCACAUACAGGUCCCUUUCCCUUCUUUAAAAUCUCUUUGGGAUAUAAGCACAGUAGUAACACUGCUGGGUCAAAGGGUAUGCACAGUUUGUUAGCUUUUUGAGCAUAAUUCCAAAUUGCCCUCCAGAAUGGAUGGAUAAUACACAUACUUUUAAAACAUGAAGGAUAUGGGAAUCUGGGACUAUUUGUUUUGUGGGCUUCAAAUUUGUUUCAUGAUUCAAUUGGGAGGGGACAGUGAAAGGGAUAGCUAAGGUACUAAACACAGAAUAAGCAAAGAAAUAAGGAUAAAAGAAUACAAGAUUUGAUACUUAGAACUCAAUCAAUCCAAUCUCUUAAUUUUAUAGAGCUCUCCAAACUCAGAAAUACAAUCAGCUAGCAAGCAUUUAUUAAGUUCUUACUGUAGUCUCUGUGUGAUAGUAAAAAUAUCCUUUGUCCUCUGUCUGCGAUCUCUGUAGAUUGCAUUCUAAUGGAACAGCAACAAAAUAACUAAAUAUAAAUAAGAUGUAUAUAGAGUAAAUGGAAGUUAAAUUUGAGAGGGGAGAGGGUAUCAGAUAGGAUAUAGAGGGAUUAGAAAAGCCCUCUUUUAGAAAGCAGGUUUUGUGUAAAGGACUGCUUGCCAUCUGGGGGAGGGGAUGAAGGGAGGGAGGGGAAAAAUUGGAACAGAAGUGAGUGUAAGGGAUAAUGCUGUAAAAAAUUACCCUGGCAUGGGUUCUGUCAAUAAAAAGUUAUUUAAAAAAAAAAAAGAAGAAGAAGAAAACAAGAAAAAAAAGUUGCUUUUCGAUUCCUUUAAAAAUUUUUCAGUUUUAUUUUCGUUUUUCUACUUGACUAAAAACAUUUGUAAUUCGCUCCACUGUUGCUUCUUUCCCUGCCCUCAAGCAUAAGGGUCUCCUAAAGUUUCUUUUUUGACUAGCUUCACUCUCUUCCUUAGUGAUCUCAUUUAUUCCCAUCUAAGACUUUUCUUUUAUUUCAUUUUAUUUUGAUUUAGAUAUAUGAUGUUAAUCACUAUACAGUCACUCAGGUACCUAUACUUUGGGUCAUGUUUGACCUUUCCUAUAUAUUGUAAAGGAGCCAAGUCAUAUUUGUUAUACUUUCACAAUAUCUCUUGAAUCUAUUCUUCUCCCUUCAUGUUAUUAUACCUUAAUUCCAAUUCGCAUCACUUCUAAAUCCUUUUCUCUUUUAAAUUCAUCUUAAUACUUCCUAAGGUCCAAGUCAAACUAUGUAAAGCCUUUUGCUCAAAAACUUUUAAUUGAAUUGCUUUUAUCUUUUUGGAAAAAAUUUAAGAAAAAAUUAUAACCUGACAUUUUAGACCCUUCCUAAUUAACAUCAAUUUUACCCUUCCCUUCUUUAUUUCAUCUUCUGCAUGAACUAUGCCCCUUCUAGCCCCUCUCCCUUUUCCCCUAUUUCCUCUCCUUUUCCCCUCAAUUGGAUCAACUAUCUACCUGAUCCUGUGAUUCUUGUCCUUGCCAUGUUAUAUCUUUUAUUAACACUAUUUGAAUAACAACCAUAUUCUUCCAAGCCUCCCUUAGUUAGAAAUGUCUUCAAGGGACAGGACUAUGUUUUCUUUAAUCUUCACGAUAUAUUCUUGAAUAUUUUAAAAUUAAAUUUGGAGUGCUGCCCCUUGAAAGGUUUCUUGAUCCAUUUUCUUUAGAGUUGCUUGCCCAAAAAUGUAAGUAAUAAGGAAAAACUUCAGCAGUGCUUAGAAAGAUAGUGUAUCUCUCCAUAUUUCAAGUUCUAUUGAUUGUCUGUAUUUUUAGUCAAAUUUUUUAUCCUCUGAAUACAGAGAGGCUUGGAGAGACUUACAUGAACUGAUGCUAAAUGAAAUGAGCAGAAGCAGUGGAUCAUUAUAUACUUCAACAACGAUACUGUAUGAAGCUGUAUUCUCAUGGAAGUGGAUUUCUUUGACAAAGAGAUCUAACUCAGUUUCAAUUGAUCAAUGAUGGACAGAAGCAGCUACAUCCAAAGAAAGAACACUGGGAAAUAAAUGUAAACUAUUUGCAUUUUUGUUUUUCUUCCCGGGUUAUUUUUACCUUCUGAAUCCAAUUCUCCCUGUGCAACAAGAGAACUAUUCAGUUCUACACACAUAUAUUUUAUCUAGGAUAUACUAUGGCAUAUUUAACAUGCUUGCCAUCUAGGGGAGAGGGUGGACGGAGGGAGGGGAAAAAUCGGAAUAGAAGUGAGUGCAAGGGAUAAUGUUGUAAAAAAUUACCCUUGCAUGAGUUCUGUCAAUAAAAAGAUAUUAAAAAAAAAAAGAAUAUAUUAGAAUGUAAACUCCUUGGGAAAAAAAAAUAUCCUCUCUCUCCUAUGCUUCCAUAAGAUUCUGCCCAGCUUGAAAGUUAGUGGUGAUAGUGGUUGUUUUGCUUUCUCAACUACUAAAUUCACAUUGUGUCUAUUUUACAGAUAAUCAUUUUAGCUCUUCCUUUGGGGAGAGAGAAGGUGAAUAUGUAAAAAAGAGUGCAUAAGAUACUGCCUUAGAAAAAGUGUCCUUUUCCUUUUAGUAAUAAAAGACCCCAAGUCCAUCUUUUUUUUGUUGCCAUGAAUCUUCAACUGCAGGCAUGGACAAAACUUGAAACAGGUUGCAGUUUGACAUCAUAGCUUGGGAAAUUAAGUUAACAAUUUCUGAUAAAAAGGUGAGUGAGAAUAAAAGAAGCAUCAGCUUUGACUUUAAGCAACUGUGUGUGAGACAAAAUUGCAGAAAGUGAGACAUCUAAAGAAGCUUUCUUUUAAUUAGGAUCUGCCUGGUUUUAAACCAGAUUGGUGUGAUUUUUUACAAAAUUACAGCUACUCAUAGGUUUUGCAAUACUUAAUGACAUUUAAGAUGUCUGUAUAUUUAAAAACAAAAGAAUUUAAACAUUUUAAACUUGCUUAACAAACUGAAGGAGGUGGGGUAAGAGGAAAAAACACAGUAGCAGUCUGUUUUACACAAUCUGAUUUUUACCAACCCAACAAGUUUUUAACAUUUAUCUAAUAAAAUGAAUUUUAUUUUGCCAAGUAUGAAAACAAGCAGUUGUUAAUGACAUCCUAAAUGGUGAUUUUAAAAAUCAUUUCCAGGGCUUCUUUGAUUUUCUUUUAUCCCCCUUUAUAUCCUGCACACAACUGAAAAUAAGUGCCUCUUGUUUUAAAGGGGAUUAUAAUUUCCUAUAAAAGCAGAAUGAGAUAUAGAUAAAAAACAAAAACAAGUUGCAUUAUUGUUUUAAAAUAAAUUGUUUGGUUUAUGAUGACUUGCUACAACUCAUAUUUUGUUUUUUUUUUUAAAGUCAUAAAACUUUUAUGUCUAAAUGAGAGAACAUCUAUAUUGUACCAUGCAAACCUUAAAGAGCUACGUAAAUGCUAUUAUUAUUGUCAUCAUCUUAAUCUUUGCCUUUAGAAUACUUGAUAGAAUUCCUAUCUAAUAUCCAGAGAAAGAACUAAUUAUGUAUAAAUAUAGAAUGAAGUAUGCUUUUAUUUUACUUUUUUUUCCUUGAGGUUUUUUUUUUUUUUUUUUGGAGGGGUGUGAAGUGGAGGGAGAUCUAUGUUUUCUUCUGCAAUAUGCUUUUUAUGGAAAUGUAUUACACAACUUCAUAUGGACCUUCUCAAUGCAGGGGUGGGGAUGGGAAAGGAGGAAUGGGGGGAAUCUAGAACUCAGAAUUUUAAAAAAUGUUUUGCACAUAACUGGGGAAAACAAAAUAUUGAAACAGAUUUACUAUAUAACCAAAAUAUAAUAGUUGACAUUUAUAUAGCACUUAAAUGAUUUACAAAGUAUUUGUGAAUUUCAAAGUAAAUAAUGCACAUACCACAAGCAUUUUUGUACUAUAGCCAAGUCCCAAUUAGUACGAAUAAUGAAUAGCAUGAAGUAGUUGCAUGUAUUCAGGUUUGAACUGUUUAAAGUUAUGGCUAUUGACUGCAGCCCAAUUGAAUUGUUGGGGAAGUAGUGGGAGGCAAGUAUAGGUGAUGAUUCUACAAAGCAGAGUAAGAACCAAUCAGAAGGAAAGAACAGUUAAAAAAAAAAAAGGUGGAGGUUAAAGGUAAAGCCUAGUUACUGUCAAAAACAGGAGAGAAUCAAG